rnacentral:misc_RNA from 1 species
GAUGAAGAACGCAGCGAAAUGCGAUAAGUAGUGUGAAUUGCAAAUUCAGUGAAUCAUCGAGUCUUUGAACGCACAUUGCGCCCCCUGGUAUUCCGGGGGGCAUGCCUGUCCGAGCGUCAUUGCUGCCCUCAAGCACGGCUUGUGUGUUGGGCCCCGUCCUCCGAUCCCGGGGGACGGGCCCGAAAGGCAGCGGCGGCACCGCGUCCGGUCCUCGAGCGUAUGGGGCUUUGUCACCCGCUCUGUAGGCCCGGCCGGCGCUUGCCGAUCAACCCAAAUUUUUAUCCAGGUUGACCUCGGAUCAGGUAGGGAUACCCGCUGAACUUAAGCAUAUCAAUAAGCGGAGGA